UGUUGCCAGCGAUUAGGUCGGGAACUCAAAGGAGACUGCCAGUGAUAAACUGGAAGAAGGUGGGGAUGACGUCAAGUCAUCAUGGCCCUUACGACCAGGGCUACACACGUGCUACAAUGGCGCAUACAAAGAGAAGCGACCUCGCGAGAGCAAGCGGACCUCAUAAAGUGCGUCGUAGUCCGGAUUGGAGUCUGCAACUCGACUCCAUGAAGUCGGAAUCGCUAGUAAUCGUGGAUCAGAAUGCCACGGUGAAUACGUUCCCGGGCCUUGUACACACCGCCCGUCACACCAUGGGAGUGGGUUGCAAAAGAAGUAGGUAGCUUAACCUUCGGGAGGGCGCUUACCACUUUGUGAUUCAUGACUGGGGUGAAGUCGUAACAAGGUAACCGUAGGGGAACCUGCGGUUGGAUCACCUCCUUACCUGAAAGAA
rnacentral:rRNA from 1 species